rnacentral:rRNA from 1 species
AGUGAACGCUGGCGGUAGGCCUAACACAUGCAAGUCGAACGGCAGCACAGUAAGAGCUUGCUCUUACGGGUGGCGAGUGGCGGACGGGUGAGGAAUACAUCGGAAUCUACUUUUUCGUGGGGGAUAACGUAGGGAAACUUACGCUAAUACCGCAUACGACCUACGGGUGAAAGCAGGGGAUCUUCGGACCUUGCGCGAUUGAAUGAGCCGAUGUCGGAUUAGCUAGUUGGCGGGGUAAAGGCCCACCAAGGCGACGAUCCGUAGCUGGUCUGAGAGGAUGAUCAGCCACACUGGAACUGAGACACGGUCCAGACUCCUACGGGAGGCAGCAGUGGGGAAUAUUGGACAAUGGGCGCAGGCCUGAUCCAGCCAUACCGCGUGGGUGACGAAGGCCUUCGGGUUGUAAAGCCCUUUUGUUGGGAAAGAAAAGCAGCAGGUUAAUACCCCGCUGUUCUGACGGUACCCAAAGAAUAAGCACCGGCUAACUUCGUG